CUUGAGCGAGCCCAGGCGCAGCGGCUCGGCGCGGUCCUGGCCGUAGACGGCGAGCAGCGCCUCCGCCUC
rnacentral:antisense_RNA from 1 species